rnacentral:lncRNA from 1 species
AUCCAUUCAGAAUACCCUUCCAGCUUCUGUAAGUAAUGAACAUAGCUAUAGUUUUGACAGAAAUGGGUUAACAGGUAACAAACCUGAACCUGUCCCAGAUGGUGGAAAGUUGUCCACGUCUGUGGAGAUGCCACGUGGAGAAUGAGAAGUACACAGCCACACCAAGCUUCUAGAAGCUCAGAUAUUCUUCUUUAAAAUAUUAUACCCUUUCAUCUAGUUGUCCAGCCUUUAACAGCUAGACCAGCAGAAGUAAAGGAGCAAACAAAUGCUUUUAUCAGAGUUAAAUACAAACCAGUUGUAAUAAUUUCCCCAAUUCAUAAUGCAGCCUACGUAGCAGAAACUUUACCCGAACUUACCCUUGUGAGGUGCAAAAUUGAGAAGACAAAACUCAUCCACGGAGUAAAAUUAACAAGCCAUUUAUGACAGCCUCAGUUCAGUAAGUGUAAAGUGUAUGCACUUUAUUAUUGGUCACAACAGGAGAGAUUUUUUUUUUAAUGAAUGACAGUUCAGUUGCCUUCUGUCAGGAUGAAUGUCCCAGUGGCCACAAGCUGCACCUUCACUUCCUGAAUGCCAUGUUUCAGUGGUACUUCCUGCGGCGGUCAUGCUUCAAGUGACUGUAGCUCCAGAUGUAGCUGAGGACAACGUACCCAGCAAGCACCAUACUGAUACCACCGAGGCCCCCUUUCCUCACAUUGAUAUACUUAUUGUAAUACCUGUCAUAACCUCUGCGGAAGGCACCCACGAUGCCGCUGGGGGUGAAGUCCCUCAUGGCCAGCCAGGUGGACAGCUGGCCCACCUUGACGUCCAGCAGCUUCAUGUCCUUCAGGGGAACCGGCGGCUGCGCCAUCUUGUCGUGCUGUGCGCCACCGCGGGGCGAGACG